rnacentral:rRNA from 1 species
AACGAACGCUGGCGGCAGGCUUAACACAUGCAAGUCGAGCGCCCCGCAAGGGGAGCGGCAGACGGGUGAGUAACGCGUGGGAAUCUACCGAGCCCUAAGGAAUAGCUCCGGGAAACUGGAAUUAAUACCUUAUACGCCCUUCGGGGGAAAGAUUUAUCGGGGUUUGAUGAGCCCGCGUUGGAUUAGCUAGUUGGUGGGGUAAAGGCCUACCAAGGCGACGAUCCAUAGCUGGUCUGAGAGGAUGAUCAGCCACAUUGGGACUGAGACACGGCCCAAACUCCUACGGGAGGCAGCAGUGGGGAAUAUUGGACAAUGGGCGCAAGCCUGAUCCAGCCAUGCCGCGUGAGUGAUGAAGGCCUUAGGGUCGUAAAGCUCUUUCACCGGUGAAGAUAAUGACGGUAACCGGAGAAGAAGCCCCGGCUAACUUCGUGCCAGCAGCCGCAGUAAAAC